AUGGUGAGGUAACGGCUCACCAUGGCAAUGAUGUCUAGGGGUUUGGAGAGGAAGGCCCCCCACAGAGGACUGAGACACGGCCCAGACUCAUACGGGAGGCAGCAGUGAGGAAUAUUGGCCAAUGGAUGGAAAUCUGAUCCAGCCAUGCCCGCGUGCAGGAAGACGGCCUUAUGGGUUGUAAAAUUCUUUUAUACGGGAGCAAUAAGGGUUACGAGUAAUCCGAUGAGAGUACUGUAUGAAUAAGGAUCGGCUAACUCCGUGCCAGCAGCCGCGGUAAUACGGAGGAUCCGAGCGUUAUCCGGAAUUAUUGGGUUUAAAGGGUGGGUAGGCGGCCAUUUAAGUCAGCGGUGAAAUUGUGCAGAUUAACUGUAACAGUGCCGUUGAUACUGUUUGGCUAGCAUUUGGUUGUAGUGUGCGGAAUGUGUGGUGUAGCGGUGAAAUGCUUAGAUAUCACACAGAACACCGAUUGCGAAGGCAGCACACUAAGUCAUUAUUGACGGUGAGGCACGAAAGUGUGGGGAUCAAACAGGAUUAGAUACCCUGGUAGUCCACACUGUAAACGAUGAUAACUCGCGGUGGGCGAUACACAGUCGGU
rnacentral:rRNA from 1 species